AGCGAACGCUGGCGGCAGGCCUAACACAUGCAAGUCGAACGAAGUCUUCGGACUUAGUGGCGGACGGGUGAGUAACACGUGGGAACGUGCCUUUAGGUUCGGAAUAACUCAGGGAAACUUGUGCUAAUACCGAUAGUGCCCUUCGGGGGAAAGAGUUAUCGCCUUGAGAGCGGCCCGCGUCUGAUUAGCUAGUUGGUGAGGUAAAGGCUCACCAAGGCGACGAUCAGUAGCUGGUCUGAGAGGAUGACCAGCCACAUUGGGACUGAGACACGGCCCAAACUCCUACGGGAGGCAGCAGUGGGGAAUCUUGCGCAAUGGGCGAAAGCCUGACGCAGCCAUGCCGCGUGAAUGAUGAAGGUCUUAGGAUUGUAAAAUUCUUUCACCGGGGACGAUAAUGACGGUACCCGGAGAAGAAGCCCCGGCUAACUUCGUGCCAGCAGCCGCCGUAACAC
rnacentral:rRNA from 1 species